GGAAUUGUAGUUUAAGUUAAAUCAUAAAGCUGUUAACUUUAAGAUGCUGUGUUAUUAUAGCUUGUUCCU
rnacentral:tRNA from 1 species